GACGAACGCUGGCGGCGUGCUUAACACAUGCGAGUCGAACGGAAAGGCCCUGCUUUUGUGGGGUGCUCGAGUGGCGAACGGGUGAGUAACACGUGAGUAACCUGCCCUUGACUUUGGGAUAACUUCAGGAAACUGGGGCUAAUACCGGAUAGGAGCUCCUGCUGCAUGGUGGGGGUUGGAAAGUUUCGGCGGUUGGGGAUGGACUCGCGGCUUAUCAGCUUGUUGGUGGGGUAGUGGCUUACCAAGGCUUUGACGGGUAGCCGGCCUGAGAGGGUGACCGGCCACAUGGGGCCGGGGAAACGGCCCGGACCCCUAGGGGGGGCAGCGGGGGGGAAUUUUGCACAAGGGGGGGAGGCCUAUGGCGGCAACCCCGGGGGGGGGAUGAGGGCCUUCGGGUUGUAAACCGCUUUCGCCUUGGACGAGGCGGGGGUGACGGUAAUGGGAAAAGAAGCCCCGGCUAACUAGUU
rnacentral:rRNA from 1 species